rnacentral:lncRNA from 1 species
GCAGGAGAUCAGUUCGGACACGACCGCUGAAGUAGACUUGUAGAUUCUGAACACACCGCCGGAUCAUGCAAUCCUGGUUGCCUUGGUAACCGAUCUGCUUUUGCUGGAAAGAUUGCGUACGAGCGGGGCUUAAUUUCUUUUCUGCCGGAUGUUCUCGUCAGAUUGGUUUGUACUAGUAAAAGUGUCCGUGCGUUGCAACGGAAGAAAAAAAACCAUCAUCUUUAAUGACGAUGAUCGUAUUAUGUUCACUAGCAAAAAAACCCGUGCGUUGCAACGAAAGAGAA